UCCUACGGGGGGCAGCAGUAGGGAAUUUUCGUCAAUGGGCGCAAGCCUGAACGAGCAAUGCCGCGUGAACGAGGAAGGUCUUCGGAUCGUAAAGUUCUGUUGAAGGGGAAAAAGAGCGGAGAGAGGAAAUGGUCUCCGAUUGAUAUUACCCUUCGAGGAAGUCACGGCUAACUACGUGCCAGCAGCCGCGGUAAUACGUAGGUGGCGAGCGUUAUCCGGAAUGAUUGGGCGUAAAGGGUGCGUCGGCGGCCUGCUACGUCUGGAGUGAAAGGUACCGGCUCAACCGGUACAGGCCCUGGACACUG
rnacentral:rRNA from 1 species